UGGAUUAAGGCCAAGGCUUUUGUCUCCUUUACUUGAGCACUCCCCUUAUGAGUCAUCCUCAGAGAGUCAAAAAUGGAUUUGGCAGAAUAUUUGUUUGUUAUCUUCUCAUACUCAGUAUAAGAGAUAUCAUUUAGCAAUAUAGUUCUAGCCUUAUGAUAAUUUUUGAAAUCUUUCUUCUGUUGAUCAGUCAUAGCACUUCUUGCUAUAAUAUUUCCUU
rnacentral:lncRNA from 1 species